UACGAAGGGGGCUAGCGUUGCUCGGAAUUACUGGGCGUAAAGGGCGCGUAGGCGGACAGUUUAGUCAGAGGUGAAAGCCCAGGGCUCAACCUUGGAAUUGCCUUUGAUACUGGCUGUCUUGAGUUCGGGAGAGGUGAGUGGAAUGCCGAGUGUAGAGGUGAAAUUCGUAGAUAUUCGGCGGAACACCAGUGGCGAAGGCGACUCACUGGCCCGAUACCGACGCUGAGGCGCGAAAGCGUGGGGAGCAAACAGG
rnacentral:rRNA from 1 species